GACAGAGGGUGCGAACGUUGUUCGGAUUUACUGGGCGUAAAGCGCGUGUAGGCGGCUUUGCAAGUCGGAUGUGAAAGCCCACGGCUCAACCGUGGAAGUGCAUCCGAAACUGCAUGGCUGGAGUCUCGGAGAGGAAGGUGGAAUGCUUGGUGUAGAGGUGAAAUUCGUAGAUAUCAAGCAGAACACCUGCGGCGAAGGCGGCCUUCUGGACGAUGACUGACGCUGAGACGCGAAAGCGUGGGGGAGCAAACAGG
rnacentral:rRNA from 1 species